rnacentral:rRNA from 1 species
UAACGCGUAGGUAACCUGCCUGGUAGCGGGGGGUAACUAUUGGAAACGAUAGCUAAUACCGCAUAAUAGUAGAUGUUGCAUGACAUUUACUUAAAAGGUGCAAUUGCAUCACUACCAGAUGGACCUGCGUUGUAUUAGCUAGUUGGUGGGGUAACGGCUCACCAAGGCGACGAUACAUAGCCGACCUGAGAGGGUGAUCGGCCACACUGGGACUGAGACACGGCCCAG